rnacentral:lncRNA from 1 species
ACAAGUAAAUUUUAGCUAAAUGUGGUGGAGAAAUCACAAGCACAAAAACAACAUUAAAAUGUUAUGGGAAGAUGAAGCUAGUUACCUCUAAACACGAAGAGUCGAUGAUAAGUCGAAGAAGAUCACCAAUGGGCGCCGGCGAUGUCAAUUCAAACUAUAACAAUUGAUUUUGAGCUUAAAAUGGAGGAGAAAUCAUAAAAACAAAAAACAUUAAAAAGAUAAGAAAGGAUAAAGUUAGUUACCCCUAGACCCAAGGAAACGAUGAUGGCGUCGAACAAGAUCACCAAUAGGCGUCGGAGAUGAGGAACAAGCAAGAACAAGCAAUGGCAAGAGCAAGAACAAGUAAGAAUAGCUCACUGAAAUUUGAAUGGGCUCAGUCUUGGCU